CCUGGCUCAGGAUGAACGCUGGCGGCGUGCCUAACACAUGCAAGUCGAACGGUGAUGAUUGAUAUUUCGGAUGGAUUCAUCAUAGUGGCGGACGGGUGAGUAACGCGUGGAUAACCUGGCCCUCGGUAACUGGGGGAAUAGCAGGCUGGAAACGGCUGGUAAUACCGCAUAAGCGCACGGUGCCGCAUGACAUUGUGUGAAAAGAUUUAGUCGGUACGAGAUGGAUCCGCGUCUGAUUAGCCAGUUGGCGGGUAACGGCCACCAAAGCGACGAUCAGUAGCCGGCCUGAGAGGGUGAACGGCCACAUUGGGACUGAGACACGGCCCAGACUCCUACGGGAGGCAGCAGUGGGGAAUAUUGCACAAUGGGCGAAAGCCUGAUGCAGCGACGCCCGCGUGAGUGAAGAAGUAUUUCGGUAUGUAAAGCUCUAUCAGCAGGGAAGAAAGGCCCGAAAGGGAGAUGACGGUACCUGACUAAGAAGCCCCGGCUAACUACGUGCCAGCCGCGGC
rnacentral:rRNA from 1 species